rnacentral:snRNA from 1 species
AGCUUUGCGCAGUGGCAGUAUCGUAGCCAAUGAGGUUUAUCCGAGGCGCGAUUAUUGCUAAUUAAAGCUGGAAUGAUUAUAUUAAUGCAGC